rnacentral:ncRNA from 15 species
GACGUGGCCAAGUUGUUAAGGCGGGGGACUGCUAAUCCCCUGGGCUCUGCCCGCGUGAGUUCGAAUCUCAUCGUCA